AAUCUAUAUGACAAACCUGUGCACGUACCCCUAAAGUUGAAAUAGAAGUUAAAAACAAAACACAAAAAACACGAUCCGGAGUUCUUUCAAGGGCAACAAUCCAGUUUAAUUGGUCAAGUUCUAAUGGUAAGCACCACAUCGUUUUCUGCUUGUUUCUUGAUCUGGCCACCUGCUCGGCUUGUGAUGGAGGGUGUGCAUUCUCCAGGUAGUGUAAGAGUACCCAUCCUUUAUGAAGCAUGUCUAUGGUUGGGUCAUCUAACUGUGUUUAUUUUAUUGGAUCCAUACAGUCCAGUAAGGCAGGUCCUACCUCUAAGGAUCAAGAACAAGAUGUCAGAGGAAGAGGUAGGAAAAUACACCAUAGUGGAGAUCUGUGCCAAGAAGAUUCAUGAGAAGAGGUUUCUGCACCAGCCUAGGAAAGUUGAGAUGAGUGCCCUUAGGUGAUCCUGUGCAAGGCAGGCACCGCCUUGGGAUGUCAAUCAUGGGAAGCCGCCCUAGCCACAGAAACAUUUUGUCAGAUUUCCAACAGGGCUAUGGCAACCGAGGGCAUAGUCUGUAGGCAAUGGACAUGGCAUUCGACUCGGUAUUGUUUCAUUUAUGAUACAAGGGCACGUUUUCCAGUAAGUUCUGUUUUGAGAGAGUAAGCGAGAAAGGACAGAUCUCCUAGUUGACUGGCUUCGGAGCAGAUGGGACACAGCAGCUUCUGAAAGCCUCCUUGUUCUCCUGCAAAUAAAUUGCUCAGAUGCAUAUAUUUAGGGAAACAAUUCAUCAAUGAAAAUGACAAAACCAUCUGGCUCUAGAGACUAAAAAAAUUUUAGACAUUGUAAACAUUUACGUUCUGAUGAAGAGUAUGUGUCUAGGUUUUAUUUCAAGGAGUUGAUGAGUUUGGUUUGUAGUUUGCUUUUAGGGAUUUUUUAACCUGGCCCUGCUAAUCGAGGAAGGUACUAUAAUCCCACACCAUAUCUUGGAUUUCUUGGAAAUUGACUCAACUCUCCAUUCUAAUAACAUCUCCAUUCUCCAGGAACUGUAUGAAAGGUGCUGGAGCCACAGUAAUGAGGAGUCCUUCAGCCCCUGCUCCUUGGCCUGGCUUUACCUGCACUUGUGGUUUCUCUGGGGUGCUGUCCUGCACUCAGUCCUGAUCUACUUUCAGGGAAACUUUCUGCUGUCCAUAUUGAUCGCCUGGACUGUGCAGUAUUUCCAGUCUGUCUCAG